CUUGCACUGGCCUAUUUGUAUGUGUGUGUGUGGUAAAUAUACCUAAAAUGUAUAUUUUUUUGAGACAGGGUCUCACUCUGUUGCCAAGGCUGGAGUACAGUGGAACCAUCUUGGCUCACUGCAGCCUCCACCUCCAGGACUCAAACCAUCCUCCCACCUCAGCCUCUGAAGUAGCUGAGACUACAGGCUAGAGUGAAAUGGCACGAUCUUGGCUCACUGCAACCUCUGCCUCCUGGAUUCAAGCAAUUCUCCUGCCUCAGCCUCCAGAGUAGCUGGAAUUACAGGUGCCCACCACCACGCCCGGCCGAUUUUUGUAUUUUUAUUAGAGACGGGGUUUCACCAUGUUGGCCAGCAUGGUCUCGAACUCCUACCUGCCUCGGCCUCCCAAAGUGCUGGGAUUACAGGCAUGAGUUAUUGUGCCUGGACCCAGGCUGGUUUUGAACUCCUAAGCUCAAGCUACCCGCCUGCCUCAGCCUCCCAAAGUGCAGGGAUUAUAGGCACAAGCCACCACACCCAGCCUAAAAUGUAGCAUCUUAACCAUUUUUAAGUGUGCAGUUGAGUGGCAUUAAGUACAUUCACAUUGUUGUGCAGCCAUCACCACCACCCAUCCACAGAACUUUUUCACACUCUCUAGCUGAAACUCUGCGCCCAUUAAACACUCACUUCCUGUUCCCCUCUCCUCUCAGGCCCUGGCAACCACCAUUUUACUUUCUAUCACUACAAAUUUGACUACUCUAGGGACCUCAUGUAAGUGGAAUCAUACAGGAUGUGUCCUUUUGUGUCUGGCUUAUCUCAUUUAUCACAAUGUUCAUAACGUUCAUCCGUGUAGUAGCACGUGUCAGAAUCUCCUUGCUUUUUCAGGCUGAAUAAUAUUCCAUUGUAUGUAUAUACCACAUUUUGUUUAUCCACUCAUUGGUCUAUUUUUUUUUUUCCAGAUGGAGUCUUGCUGUGUCUCCCAGGCUGGAGUGCAGUGGCACAAUCUUGGCUCACUGCAACCGCCGCCUCUUCGGUUCAAGAAUUCUCCUGCCUUAGCCUCCUGAGUAGCUGAGAUUACAGGUGUGUGCUACCAUGGCCGGCUAAUUUUUGUAUUUUUAGUAGAGACAGGGUUUCAUCAUGUUGGCUAGGCUGGUCUCGAACUCCUGACCUCAGGUGAUCCAUCCACCUCGGCCUCCCAAAGUGCUGGGAUUAUGAUCUAUUUUUUAAAAGGAUUUUUGGAUAGGAAAUUAGCACAUAGAGCUUUAAAACCCAUCCACUACAGAAAAGGAUAGGGUGCCUCUUGUCUCCUGGUGGCCCGACGGCAGGGCAUCCUUUGGGCCUCUCUCCCCUGCCCUCUGCCUGUCCACAGUCCUCUGUCUUUCCCUCAGCAGUGUCCUUCCUGUUGGUCUUCCUCUCUGUUCCCACUGCCCACCUCUGGUUUCUGUUCCAAUACCUUUUCAUCCUCAGGCAUUCCUGCCCAGACUCUGCCUCCUGGAAGCUGGCCUACAAGUGCUGCCAGGGAAGCUGUCUAAGGUUCAGCCCCUGCCCUACCAGCCCUUAGCCUCUGAGGCUGCCCUCCAGCUUGUCCCAGCUGACCAUGACUGAUGUGUGUCCCCCUGUACCGGAUGGACUUCCUUGCCAAACUGCUUGGAGAGCCCUUCUUUCUCCCAAGAGUCAGCAUAAGUCCUCCUUCCUUAGAAAGGGCCCUGAACUCUUCCUGCCAGCCCUACCUGAAUUUCUCUCUGUCCUUUGUGCUCCUACGACAGUGACCCUAUUCUGACUCGUGCUCUGUAGCCACUUGGCUACUUUCCGAUCUCUUCUAAGAUAAGUAAACUCCUGGAAGGAAAAAACAAGGCCCAUUUACCUUUGAGUGUCCCCAGGGCUAGCCAGUGCCCCGCAUAGAGGAAGCCACAGUCAGCAAGUGUGGAAUCUGGAAAGCUCUCGGAGGAAUCUUUGCCAGGCCCAGGUGCAGAGACUGGACUGGGGGUUGUUAUUUAGCUUAUCGGAGCCUCCAUUUCCUCAGACUGGGAAAAUGGUUUUUCCUCACAGGCUGGCAGAGAGAAUGCAACCAGUGUAAAUUAAAGACAGGAUUUGAUAAAUGUGGGUCCCCCUAGGUGGGAGCAGGACUGGCUGUUAGGUGUCAAGGGCCUGUGAAACAAUCCCCUCCCCAGGGCAAGUGGCUGGUGCAGUGCUGGUCCAGAUCAUUGAAGGCAGGGAAGCCUGGCUUGGGAGAGGGAGGUCAAUCCUCCAGCAGGAAAGGAGAGGGGUGUGAGUGCUUCCGUGGUGUCCCGUCCACAGAUGCUCAAGGCCCCUGUGCAAUUGGGCUUAGGAACAGGGUCACCUGCAGAGGUCUGCACUGAAGGAGCAGCAAGCCAAGUUUCAUCCUUGCUUCCCAGCCCCAGCUGUUCCUCUUCCCUCUGUCCCAGCCAUUUCCUUGGGCUCUUCCUAUGGGCCGAGGGCAGGAGGCAGCAGCAGCCACACCAAGGGAGGCUUGACACUGAACACGAGUGCGUGUGCAUUUAGCCCUUGAGUGCCAGUGCCAUAAUGUGGCCUCGGCCCUGGGGGCACAGAUUCAAUAUCUCAAUGUGGAAAGGUUCUUCUGAUGUGCCCUCUUAACAGGACAACCAGAGAGGCCUCAGUUCCAACUGGAAGGCCAUUCCUUUACCCUUUCACCCAUCCAUUAACAAAUGUUUAUUAAGCAUCUAGAUGGGUCAGGCCCUGUUCUAUGGGGCACAGUCUGCUUCUAAACAGACUAACAAGCAGUCCUGCUGUUAGCCCCAUCCUGCCCUCCCCUGUGCCUGUUCCUUCCCAUUGGACUCCUCGACCUCCAGGCCCUGCAGCAGCCAUAAGGAACAGCUUUCUCUUCCCUGCCACUCCCCCACCACAGACAGGGUCUUGCUCUAUUGCCCAGGCUGGAGUGCAGUGGCACGAUCUCGGCUCACUACAUCCUCCACCUCCCAGCUUCAAGCAAUUCUCCUGCCUCAGCCUCCCAAGUAGUUGGGAUUACAAGUGCAUGCCACAACACCCAGCUAAUUUUUGUUAUUUUUAGUAGAGAUGGGGUUUCACCAUGUUGGCUGGGCUGGUCUUGAACUCCUGACCUUGUGAUCCACCCGCCUCGGCCUCCCAAAGUGCUGGGAUUACAGGCGUGAGCCACAGCUCCUGGCCAGCGGCGGCUUUCUCUGUGUAGUGCUAGUUCUCUGUCCCUUGCUUUUUGGCUUCCUCUACUUUGUGGACAUCUCCAAGCUAUUGUCAUCUUCUUUCUCCUGUUUAUUUGUCUUUUGGAUUUAUGCCUGCUUUAAUACUUUUGUUAACAUUAGUGAUGUUUCAAGUAGGAAGAAGAAAUAAAUUCUGAUGUUCCAUCUGCCAUAUUUAACUAGAAUUUCCUUCCAAUUGAGUUUUCACUUAAAGUAUUUUAACAAUGAUUUAUGGAGUUUGGAUGUUUUCAAUUUGAAAAUGGUAGUUGUUUAUUUUAGAAAUUUACAAAUAAUAUACAAGUAUAAAGAAGAAUAUAAAGAUGACUCAUCAUCUCAGAAAUUCAGAAAUAACCCCUCUUAACAUUUUGAGGGAGAUAUAUAUGUACACCCCCAUAUAGAUACACAUUAGUUGAAGGGAAUUAAAUAAUCUCUUUCUGUUUGCUUAAGUUUGAUGCUGACAUUUGGAUGCUGCCAGCUUUGUAGAAGCCUUUUGCUGUGGGAGGCACUUGCCAAGCCUUGCUGCGACACAGGAGUAUCCCUUGUCAUGCUGACAUUGGUGCCUCUCACCUUCCCUCAGGCCUGCCUCUCUCCCCUAGUGAGCCUCGGCCUAGACUGCCCACUUCCACUGGAGAUGUUCAUCAUCACGUCAUCUACGGAUCAAAACCACAGUUCUUACCUGCAGUGCCUGAAGGAGGUUAAGAAACAGAAUCGGGUGUGCCCUCCCCAACUCUGUCAUCCCUAGGAAUAUUCUCCCAGGUUGUGACAGAGCCCGGAAAAAAGCCAUUUGCGAUGACCUCACUGUACCCCAGACAUCUACCAGAAUCCCUGGCCUUUUUCUGGCCCUUGGUGAUCCCUGAUGGGGAAUUGUCAGUGGGGGAAAGGUGAUUUGUUUCAUUUAAUCCGCCAAAUGCAAAUGACCAACAUUUUGGGUCUUAGCCAAUUUUGAGGUUUUGGAUUCAGAAUAUGUUCUGUUGGGGCUCAGGACACACCAUCCCAAAAUAUGACACCACCUCAAAAAACCUUCCACCCCAAUAAAUUGCAGAUAUUUUCAAAAAAUAA